AUGAAACUUUCGAAGCCGCGCUCGCGGACGGGCGUGCGCGCCGGCCAAUGGGAGGUGGCUCGGGGCGGCGCGGGGUCCCGCCCCUGGACGGCUGGAGGCCGGCGCGGGGACCCAGCGCAGGGAAGCCCCCGCCUGCGAGCGGUGGGCUUCGCGCGCUCGCUCCCCGGACCCUCAGCGCCGCUGGAUCCUGUCCUUUUGCAGACUGAAGGAACUAUCCGUUCCCCAGGGCGCGGCCCUGAGCUCACCCCCGCGCCCGGGGAGUCCUUCAAGGCUCCAGGAAUUGUGCACAGGCGACAGGAAAGCAGAAGUUGGCGCGACUGUCACUGUGCUAGGUCCACACGUGCCCACAUGCACGCACUGAGAGAAAGAAAAGCAGAAUUCGUCCAGACCAGUGUCCCUGCGCAUUCUGAAUGGAGCGAGAAGUUUCAGCUUUGACGGGGCUCUGGGAAAUCCUGCGUCUUUCCAAAUUCAUUGGGUCAUUGGGAAAUCUGCGAGUGGACAUAGGGAUCAGAUGCGCGCCCACUUAGUAGAUUUUGGAGACGUCUUGUUUUCGCCUCGGGUUUGUUGCUUGUCGUGGCCCCUGGGAAGAGAGUAUACUGUUUCUCUUCUCUACUCAUAACCCCUGUUUUCUCUUUCUCUAGGUAAGAUCUAGAGACACCUGGUUCUACCUGGGAGAUGCUCUUUUCUCAAUUAUCCAGCAGUUUUGUCACUGAGGGGACCCUGGAGACCUGAAACAGGUGAUCUGACCUAUAGGGAGGACCCUUCAAAACUGGCAUUUCCAUCAGGAGGACAGAGAGGCAAGAAUUUGACUUCCACCAGCCUUCUGGGCUUGAACUGGCGUUUGAUGAUGGAAAAGUCUACUGAUGGAAAUUUACACAAACCUUAGUUCUCUGUGAUAACCAACAAGGUCUCCCUUUAAAGAUACAAUAACCUUGCCUUUUGAGCCCAGAUGUCUUCACAAAUUCCCUGAGAAAGACAAAUACACUGUGAACCAACACUUUUUUAUGAAGCCUGAUGCAGUCAGAUCUUGCAAAGACACAGGGAAACUUGGACCAUCCUUGUAUUCUAGAGUCCUCAAGAAGUUUCGCCACCGGAACUCCGAAUGUCAAUGUACAUUACACUAGGCCUAGAAAAGAUAACAGGAACUUAAGCAAAUCAUUGUCCUCUCCCAGGAAUUGUGUUUUGUAGAAGCCUGAUGACAAUCUGCACCUAUUUUCCAAGUCUAGCACUGUGAUGCUCAUAGGUGGUAUCCUCUGGCUCUCCCUCAAUCUCUCUGGUACAACUUGUUUUGGG
rnacentral:lncRNA from 1 species